rnacentral:rRNA from 1 species
GUUUGUGGCCAAAUCUUUUUGUCAAAGCCUGAUUUCAUCAGAUCUUAGAAGCUAUGCAAGGCCUGGCCUGGUCAGUGCUCGGAUGGGAGACUGCUGGAAAUUCCAGAUGCCACAGUGA